CUUGACGCAGCAACGCCGUGUGAGGGAUGAAGGCUUUCGGGUCGUAAACCUCUGUCGGAAGGGAAGAACGGGCAUUGGUCUAAUAGGCCUUUGUUUUGACGGUACCUUUAGAGGAAGCACCGGCUAACUCCGUGCCAGCAGCCGCGGUAAUACGGAGGGUGCAAGCGUUAUUCGGAAUUACUGGGCGUAAAGCGCACGUAGGCGGCCUUGUAAGUCAGGGGUGAAAUCCCACGGCUCAACCGUGGAACUGCCUUUGAAACUGCAGGGCUUGAAUCCUGGAGAGGGUGGCGGAAUUCCUGGUGUAGGAGUGAAAUCCGUAGAUAUCAGGAGGAACACCGGUGGCGAAGGCGGCCACCUGGACAGGUAUUGACGCUGAGGUGCGAAAGUGUGGGGAGCAAACAGGAUUAGAUACCCUGGUAGUCCACACCGUAAACGAUGGAUACUAGGUGUCGGGGACUUGAUCUUCGGUGCCGUAGCUAACGCGUUAAGUAUCCCGCCUGGGGAGUACGGUCGCAAGGCUGAAACUCAAAGAAAUUGACGGGGGCCCGCACAAGCGGUGGAGUAUGUGGUUUAAUUCGAUGCAACGCGAAGAACCUUACCUAGGCUU
rnacentral:rRNA from 1 species